GGUUUGUUGAGCUGUGAUCAAUUUUUUCCACGAGUUGGGGGGAGAUGCAGAUGGUCUU
rnacentral:tRNA from 1 species